rnacentral:rRNA from 1 species
GUGAGGAAUUUUCCGCAAUGGGCGAAAGCCUGACGGAGCAAUGCCGCGUGAAGGAUGAAGGCCUAUGGGUUGUAAACUUCUUUUCUCAGAAAAGAAUUAUGACGGUAUCUGAGGAAUAAGCAUCGGCUAACUCUGUGCCAGCAGCCGCGGUAAGACAGAGGAUGCAAGCGUUAUCCGGAAUGAUUGGGCGUAAAGCGUCUGUAGGUUGUUUAAAAAGUAUUCUGUCAAAGAUUAGGGCUUAACCCUAGAUAGGCAGAAUAAACUUUUAAGCUAGAGUUAGGUAGAGGCAGAGGGAAUUCCCGGUGGAGCGGUGAAAUGCGUAGAUAUCGGGAGGAACACCAAAGGCGAAGGCACUCUGCUGGGCCAAUACUAACACUGAGAGACGAAAGCGAGGGGAGCAAAUGGGAUUAGAAACCCGUGUAGUCC